AUUGAACGCUGGCGGAAUGCUUUACACAUGCAAGUCGAGCGGCAGCGCGGGGGCAACCCUGGCGGCGAGCGGCGAACGGGUGAGUAAUACAUCGGAACGUGUCCUUAAGUGGGGAUAGCUCGGCGAAAGCCGGAUUAAUACCGCAUAAGCUCUGAGGAGGAAAGCGGGGGCGUCCGUAAGGACCUCGCGCUGUUGGAGCGGCCGAUGUCGGAUUAGCUAGUUGGUGGGGUAAAGGCCCACCAAGGCGACGAUCCGUAGCUGGUCUGAGAGGA
rnacentral:rRNA from 1 species